UUUAGUAUGUGAGCGCUUAUUUAGAAUGCAAAUCAAGAGUCAUACAAAAGAACGUGACUUAGUGCUUGCACGAUUUGUCAUAGAUAGAAUAAAUACACAUGACACUCGCACAAAGCCAUGUGUCACAGAGACGUUGAAUAUCAGUAUAAAAGGAUUGCCUUAUGUAUCAUAGAACAGUCUUAAAAAAGGUUCAUCGGAUUCAAGAACAAACGCCACCAUGAAAACCAUUGCCUGCUUGAUUGCUGUCGCCAUUGCCAAUUCACAAUGCUUGCUACAGACCGACUGCCGUGACACCGCGGAUCGAACCUGCAACAAGGGGUGGCACUGCGUCGACAACAGAUGUCGCUGCUACUGAAGAACCGCAGGAUGCUCGUUCAUAGAAUAAUGUGAUCUGCGGUAAUUGAUGACUUAAAUAAAGUGCCGGGGAUAUAAGGUUUGAAAA